GCAGGUCCCAGUAGAGGAGGUAUCUUGGGGCCUUUUCCAGGGAAGUUUUUAUCAGGCACUGAGCCACAAGUGACCUCACAACCACAAACAGCAGCCAUGGGCCUAGCACAGGCCUAUCAGGCACUGAGCCACAAGUGACCUCACAAGCACAAAGAGCAAUAAUGUGUCUCCUUGUUGCCUGUCAUUUACA
rnacentral:lncRNA from 1 species